CGUACACUCCUACGGGAGGCAGCAGUGGGGAAUAUUGGACAAUGGGCGCAAGCCUGAUCCAGCCAUGCCGCGUGAGUGAUGAAGGCCCUAGGGUUGUAAAGCUCUUUCACCGGUGAAGAUAAUGACGGUAACCGGAGAAGAAGCCCCGGCUAACUUCGUGCCAGCAGCCGCGGUAAUACGAAGGGGGCUAGCGUUGUUCGGAUUUACUGGGCGUAAAGCGCACGUAGGCGGACUAUUAAGUCAGGGGUGAAAUCCCGGGGCUCAACCCCGGAACUGCCUUUGAUACUGGUAGUCUUGAGUUCGAGAGAGGUGAGUGGAAUUCCGAGUGUAGAGGUGAAAUUCGUAGAUAUUCGGAGGAACACCAGUGGCGAAGGCGGCUCACUGGCUCGAUACUGACGCUGAGGUGCGAAAGCGUGGGGAGCAAACAGGAUUAGAAACCCCGGUAGUCC
rnacentral:rRNA from 1 species